rnacentral:rRNA from 1 species
GACGAACGCUGGCGGCGUGCUUAACACAUGCAAGUCGAACGGAAAGGCCCUGCUUUUGUGGGGUGCUCGAGUGGCGAACGGGUGAGUAACACGUGAGUAACCUGCCCUUGACUUUGGGAUAACUUCAGGAAACUGGGGCUAAUACCGGAUAGGAGCUCCUGCUGCAUGGUGGGGGUUGGAAAGUUUCGGCGGUUGGGGAUGGACUCGCGGCUUAUCAGCUUGUUGGUGGGGUAGUGGCUUACCAAGGCUUUGACGGGUAGCCGGCCUGAGAGGGUGACCGGCCACAUUGGGACUGAGAUACGGCGCAGACUGCUACGGGAGGCAGCAGUGGGGAAUAUUGCACAAUGGGCGGAAGCCUGAUGCAGCAACGCCGCGUGCGGGAUGACGGCCUUCUGGUUGUAAACCGCUUUCGCCUGUGACGAAGCGUGAGUGACGGUAAUGGGUAAAGAAGCACCGGCUAACUACGUG